GGAACUUGCCCAUCCUUCAUAACAGGAUAAAUGUUAAUGGGCCCAAUAUUGAACUGGACAAGGAUGACACGGUCUAUGCCUUGUGUUCAAUAUAGACAUAAGGGCAAAAAGGGUAAUUGUACACAUAAGUAUUAUCACAAAAGGAUUUGUCAGAUCACAUGACAUUUUCGUGUCUUGGGUAGUAGUGAUGUGUUGCUAGAUACCGCUCACUGUUUAUUAUGUUAAAUACAUGAUUU
rnacentral:lncRNA from 1 species